AAAGCUUCCUCCGUUUUUUGCGUUCUUUGUGUGCUUCGCUGUGACAUCUUUGGAAUAUUCCUGCGUGUUGCUGGCUUUUUAUGGGCUUGUUGCCUCGAAGAUCGCCAUGAUCGCCUCCGACUCAUCGACAUCAAAGAUUCAAAGUGAGCUGGGAGACGCCCCAGCUGGAACGCUAAAGGAAGCAGAAGAAAAAAAAAACAACAUUGCUGAUGCAACUGCAAGGCAUUUGCUCCAGUGAUCAAUUUGUGCAGAGUGCCUUCAUUAGGAGACAUGCCUUUAAGCACUCAGCUGAAAGACUUAACAUCUGCACCGGGACUGGGAGUGAAUUUCAGUGUCACUUGUGAACAUAUUAAAUGCAGAAUGUGCCUUUUUCAGUGUAUAUGACUGAUAUGAGAGGGGCGUUCACAAACUUAGUGUGGACAUUAGUGGUCUACAUGAGUGAACAUAUUUAUAGUUUUACCAGAACGAAGGUAUAAUGACCUA